rnacentral:rRNA from 1 species
AGUGAACGCUGGCGGUAGGCCUAACACAUGCAAGUCGAGCGGCASACAGGAGAGCUUGCUCUCUGGGUGGCGAGUGGCGGGCGGGUGAGGAAUACAUCGGAAUCUACCUUUUCGUGGGGGAUAACGUAGGGAAACUUACGCUAAUACCGCAUAAGACCUUCGGGUGAAAGCCGGGGACCUUCGGGCCUGGCGCGGAUAGAUGAGCCGAUGUCGGAUUAGCUUGUUGGCGGGGUAAAAGCCCACCAAGGCGACGAUCCGUAGCUGGUCUGAGAGGAUGAUCAGCCACACUGGAACUGAGACACGGUCCAGACUCCUACGGGAGGCAGCAGUAGGGAAUAUUGGACAAUGGGCGCAACUGGAUCCAGCCAUACCGCGUGGGUGAAGAAGGCCUUCGGGUUGUAAAGCCCUUUUGUUGGGAAAGAAAUCCUGCCGAUUAAUACUCAAUAGGGAUGACGGUACCCAAAGAAUAAGCACCGACUAACUUCGUGC